rnacentral:pre_miRNA from 1 species
GUUUCCCGUUGCUUUGCUGGACAACAAAGCACGGGUUCUCUCUCAGGUAACCGCGUUGAUGUCCUGCAAAGAAAUCGGACGC